UUGAACUCCUGGGCUCAAGCGAUCUGCCUGCCUUGGCCUCUCAAAUUGCUGAGAUUCACAGGCAUGAGCCCAGCCAUUUUUCAGCACAUUCUUUAGGCAAUUUCUUUUCAGUAUUUUAGAGUAGUAAGUACUCUAAGUUCUUGGUCUUCAUAAAUUGACAACCUCUUAUUUUGUAGGUUAUAGUGCCAUCAUGUGGAUACUUUGUUUUCUUCAAAUAAAAUGUAACUUUUUAUAAUAGAAACUAGAAAACCCAGCCAUCCCACACCCAGGCUAUGCAAAGAAAUUGGAGCCAAAGGUUUUUUUGCCAUGUUCUGAAAAGCCUACUUUCAAAGCCAUCACCUAUAAUCCUUUUUCAGAUCAUAACCACUCUGCUUUCAAAACCAGGUAAGGGCAAUGCAGACAUAAUUUAUCCUUUUUCCUUAUUGCUAACAGGAGUUACAAUGAUAACAUCAGACAUACUGUCAUAAAGUAAACUGCUCUUUUCUUUAAAAUCUUAGUCUUCAGCCUAUUUUCAAAGUCAUCACCUGUAAUCCUUUUUCAGAUCAUAACCACUCUGCUUUCAAAACCAGAUAAGGGCAAUGCAGACACAAUUUACCCUUUUUCUAACAGGAGUUACAAUGAUAACAUCAGACCCACUAUCUUUCCAUUUGGGCUACCAUAACAAAAUGCCGUAGAUUGGGUGGCUUAUA